rnacentral:misc_RNA from 1 species
AAGCCACAGCUUCAGGAGGCGUCGGAGCAACCGACGGGGCAGGAGCUGCCGGAGAGGAAGCAGGAGCCGGCGGACGGGAUAUUGGAGGGAAAGCCGAAGCCGGGGUAGAAGCAGCUUGAGUGAAAGCUGGAGCCGGAUGAUAGCCAGGACCACCACGUCCUCUGCCACCUCUUCCACCUCUACCGCCUCCACCACCGCGCUGAAAUGACGGCGAGGGAGAUGAUGAUUGCUGGUCUUGUCGAGAAUCCGACCGACGGCCACCGCCACGUCGAGACAUUGUGCAAGA